CCCAACGUUAAAUGAACAAUUAAGGUGUCUA
rnacentral:piRNA from 1 species